rnacentral:lncRNA from 1 species
GGAGAUCACAAGCUAUCAUUCACUAUUUCGUUCAGACAACUUCUGGACUAAUUCCUUAGAGUGUCUAAAAAGCACGGCAAACUCAUUACCUUCUUGCGAACAUUCAUGAAGUCUCGCCCAACAAAGCAGAAGCUAAAGCAGCGGGGCAUCUUGAAAGAGAGAGUGUUUGGUUGUGACCUGGGGGAGCACCUUCUGAACUCUGGGUUUGAAGUGCCCCAGGUUCUCCAAAGCUGCACAGCGUUCAUCGAGAGGUAUGGCAUCGUGGAUGGGAUAUAUCGUCUCUCUGGCGUUGCCUCCAAUAUCCAGAGACUUCGUCAUGAAUUUGAUUCUGAGCAUGUCCCCGACCUGACGAAGGAACCCUAUGUUCAAGACAUCCAUUC